GUUUUUGUGCUUUUGGCUCUUUCCCCCAGCUCCGUUGGUGCUACAGAAGGUUUGUCCUCGGUGGAGAGUUCCCAGUUCUACAACAGUCAGGAGAAAGGGGGAACCGUCUCAGUGACUGAAACCACCGAUUCUUACAUCGUUCAAUCCAAUGGACUUCCGGAUCAUGAUAUGCAGCAAGUUAAUCCAAACACGGCCUCUGCGCAGAGCUUCCGGUACACAUUUAAGAAAGAGAUAGACUUUGCUUGCCAACCCGGAAGUCUUCCCAAAGGAUCCAUUGGGAUAACCAAGACCGGUGUCGCCAUCUACAAUCCCCUAACUAGCGCCGACCUGAACGCUGUUGAGGGUAGUGAUGCAGAGACUUUUGAUCGCUGUAACGGUCACUCUGACAAUCGGGGGGUGUACCAUUAUCACCAGUCCCCCGGUUCAGAUAACUGUGGCGACACCUUCACCGCCGAGGUCGACCAGUUCAUUGGUGUCGCUUUGGACGGAUUUCCUAUCUACGGCCCAUACGCCUCAGACAAAGGCUCCGAACCUCUCAGCUCAGAUGACCUUGACAUUUGUCACGGUCGUAUGGUAGAUGGGAAAUACCGGUAUCAUUUGACCUAUGACUUCCCGUACGUUCUCGGCUGUUACUGGGGGGCAAGCGCCAAAGACAACGCACCACAGGUGUCUUACGUCUGUGACCUGGACUCUGGAACAGACUUACAGCUAUAUGGAUACCUUUGCAGCAACGUAGAUCAACGAGGCGUGAGUGCUGAGGUCUGCCCCAGCUAUCCCGGAUCUGUAACCGUGACAACCGAGGAUAAUGGAAACACGGCCGCCCCCACCCAGGCACCCACCCAGGCCCCAACUCAGGCCCCCACCCAGGCACCUACCACGGCAACCUCACGGAGAACCAGACGCCCAGGUGGACGUAACCGCUCCCGGGACAAUUCAAAGAGAGCUAACUCCGCCCGAGAGGCAUACUUGAAAAGGUGGAUCAAACGACUACUUGAGGAGACAAAGUAAACGCGUCGAUGACUUCAAGGGCUUGCCUAUCUAAAGGAAAGAUCAUCUGUUCUAAUUUGGAAAGGAUUGUAUACAUGUACAUCUAUAUGAUAGGGGUCUAAAAUUAAUGUUGUUUUUUGAAAAAGAACAUCGUUAUUUUAUACUUUGCGUGUUUACUUUGUACAGAUCCAUCCCAGACCAAUUACAUAUGUACAUGUACUUACAUGUACAAAAAAUGUUUAAAAGCAGUAUCUUAAAUGUUUCUUGCUGAAAUAUGGAAUCGAUAUUAUACAUGAAUUAAACUUAUUAAAACCAAUGAUUUGAUUAAGGUAGCUGAACUAACCCUAGUCAUAUAUGCAGUCCUUUGCCAACUUUAGAAUUCAUGAUUUUGUCUAAAGUUAAUAAGAAUAAACUUAUCAUCAAGCAUUC
rnacentral:misc_RNA from 1 species